CUAAUACAUGCAAGUCGAACGCUUCUUUUUCUACCGGAGCUUGCUCCACCGGAAAAAGAGGAGUGGCGAACGGGUGAGUAACACGUGGGUAACCUGCCCAUCAGAAGGGGAUAACACUUGGAAACAGGUGCUAAUACCGUAUAACAAUCGAAACCGCAUGGUUUUGAUUUGAAAGGCGCUUUCGGGUGUCGCUGAUGGAUGGACCCGCGGUGCAUUAGCUAGUUGGUGAGGUAACGGCUCACCAAGGCCACGAUGCAUAGCCGACCUGAGAGGGUGAUCGGCCACAUUGGGACUGAGACACGGCCCAAACUCCUACGGGAGGCAGCAGUAGGGAAUCUUCGGCAAUGGACGAAAGUCUGACCGAGCAACGCCGCGUGAGUGAAGAAGGUUUUCGGAUCGUAAAACUCUGUUGUUAGAGAAGAACAAGGAUGAGAGUAACUGUUCAUCCCUUGACGGUAUCUAACCAGAAAGCCACGGCUAACUACGUGCCAGCAGUCGCGGUAAUACGUAGGUGGCAAGCGUUGUCCGGAUUUAUUGGGCGUAAAGCGAGCGCAGGCGGUUUCUUAAGUCUGAUGUGAAAGCCCCCGGCUCAACCGGGGAGGGUCAUUGGAAACUGGGAGACUUGAGUGCAGAAGAGGAGAGUGGAAUUCCAUGUGUAGCGGUGAAAUGCGUAGAUAUAUGGAGGAACACCAGUGGCGAAGGCGGCUCUCUGGUCUGUAACUGACGCUGAGGCUCGAAAGCGUGGGGAGCAAACAGGAUUAGAUACCCUGGUAGUCCACGCCGUAAACGAUGAGUGCUAAGUGUUGGAGGGUUUCCGCCCUUCAGUGCUGCAGCUAACGCAUUAAGCACUCCGCCUGGGGAGUACGACCGCAAGGUUGAAACUCAAAGGAAUUGACGGGGGCCCGCACAAGCGGUGGAGCAUGUGGUUUAAUUCGAAGCAACGCGAAGAACCUUACCAGGUCUUGACAUCCUUUGACCACUCUAGAGAUAGAGCUUCCCCUUCGGGGGCAAAGUGACAGGUGGUGCAUGGUUGUCGUCAGCUCGUGUCGUGAGAUGUUGGGUUAAGUCCCGCAACGAGCGCAACCCUUAUUGUUAGUUGCCAUCAUUCAGUUGGGCACUCUAGCAAGACUGCCGGUGACAAACCGGAGGAAGGUGGGGAUGACGUCAAAUCAUCAUGCCCCUUAUGACCUGGGCUACACACGUGCUACAAUGGGAAGUACAACGAGUCGCGAAGUCGCGAGGCUAAGCUAAUCUCUUAAAGCUUCUCUCAGUUCGGAUUGCAGGCUGCAACUCGCCUGCAUGAAGCCGGAAUCGCUAGUAAUCGCGGAUCAGCACGCCGCGGUGAAUACGUUCCCGGGCCUUGUACACACCGCCCGUCACACCACGAGAGUUUGUAACACCCGAAGUCGGUGAGGUAACCUUUUGGAGCCAGCCGCCUAAGGUGGGAUAGAUGAUUGGGGUGAA
rnacentral:rRNA from 1 species